rnacentral:pre_miRNA from 1 species
AGGAGGAACAACCCCAGUGGCAGCGGCCAGCUCUGGAGCCCUGGAGUCAGCUCCCGCAGUAGCUACAGAGCUCUCGGUCUGCAGGGCCUGGAGGCUCCGGGGCGGG